AUCCACGCAGGUUGCUGGCAUGUUAGCAAUUAGCAUGGACAUUUUGUCGGGGAUUCUGCCAAAAUGAAUUGGUGGCAGUUAAAGGAAGAGUGUUCUUUUUUUUUUUUAUUUUGCCCAUUGUCCACAAUCCUUAUGUGAGACAAACAAUUUUGCAUCAAAGACAUUAACCCAGCUACAGUGUGUGGUGAAAAAAGUACAAGUGUGUGGUGAAGCUAGUCUCUAUCCGGCUAGUAGCUAGCUGGUGUGGUGUGGCGAGGUGUCGCUACGCCAGUAACGUAGUUCUUGGGUGUAACAACGUUAACAGUAAUAAUAACAAUAUUGCUGUAGCUUGGUUAAUAUGCAGGUCAUGUUAUUUAAAUGCAGCGUUGUUGGCGCUUUUUGUAGGUUUUUUUCAGAAAGCUGCAUUCUUAGCCAUCUCUUUUUGUCUGUUAUAUCUUUAGAAGGUACAGAAAAGAGGAUGACGUGUGUUCAUGUCUCGCAUAAGGAUUGUGGAUGAUGGGCAAAAUUCCCCCCAAAAAGUGCACUUUUCCUUUCAGACUUUAUGUACAUGGUUGGCGUUAGCUUUAGCAUUUCAACAUUUUGCAUUUCCCUUUGAGGUUUAGCACCUUAGCCGUGAGCGAGAGAUGGUACAUUGCUAUCACACUGUAUCCACACAAGUUGUUAGCAUUCUAGCUAUUAGCAUUGUUAGCAUUUCUGAAUUGUUGGCAUGCUGGGCCAGGUUAAAAACGGGUCCAAGGAGGUUAACAACAGGUAGCAGACCCAUUCCAAAUUUCCGCAGGAACUUCAGAUGUGGCUGUUUUGUUCAGAUAGCUUAGCAUAUAGACCUACACUGGAUGGGUUUUAGCCUCUUUUAAUGUACAAAAUGUUUUUCUGUAUGCCGACACCCUCGCUGUAAAGUUUUUGGGAAUUGCACAGGAAGUAACGGCCUAUGGUGGGUUAAAGCAUACAAGGAAGUGUGUCCACCUGCCAAGGGAGUAAAGUCCAUAAGAGGGAGGCAAUAGAGACUCCAGGAAAUACACCUGGCUCCAACAAUGGCGCUUAUGUGUGUUUUGUGUUAGAUUGGUUGUGUUAUUUGAAGUCUUGUGAGGUUACGCUAAGGUACAGCGUGUCAGAAUGGAUCCGCAGAGGCAAGACCCGGAGGAAUACGCAGAAGCACCAGGUGACUUUUACUCUGAUGGCCAGCAGUCUCUGAGGUUACGACGUCUGUCAUCUGGAGCGUCCACUCGUAACUACCCUCAGUUCAACUGGGGGCCGGCGGCCUCAGAAGAGGAUGACGAAGAGGACGGGGAAAGCAACUGGGAAGAUCCAGGCCCAGAUCUUCAAGACCUUCGCAGCAUCCCCCUGCCCAUGGCGCUGAAAAGGGCUGUGAGGCAGGUGCAGCAAAUGCAGGUGCCCGUGGCCUCCAAAACGUCAUCCUGGAAGCAAAAGAAGCGCAAAUCCCUGCAAAAAAUCAAAAUGAAUGCCAAGGAAUUCCUAAGCUUCUUUAUGCUGUGGAGGAAGUCUUUGCAAAAAAUCGGAGGGAACUUUGGAGGAGGCGUCCAGUCGUACUUUCUGUUCCUGCGCUUCCUGGUGGUGCUUAAUUUUGUCUCCUUUUUGCUGAUUGCUGGCUUUGUCUUCAUUCCCAGCAUGGUCUUCAGAUCGGUGGGCACCGGCCCUCUAAACCACACUGGGCCUGAGGAAUGCAUGCAAUACGAGCCCAAUCCUCAAGGAUUGGUGGUGUUCUAUAAUUACUUCCUUGACUUACUUUCAGGAACGGGUUUUAUGGAGUAUUCUUACCUCUUUUAUGGCUACUACAGCAACACAUUGGUGGGGGACACCAACUUCUCCUACAACAUCCCCCUGGCGUACCUCUUCACCGCCGUCUUCUACUUUGCGUUUUGUCUUAUCUGCAUCAUCGCUCGGAUGGGGACUGCGGCACGCGUCGCCGUGGCAACGGGAGGCAGUGCCGUGGGCGCCUAUAGCAUGAUUGUGUUCACAGGCUGGGACUACGGUUCGCUGGGAGACGGAGCGACGAAGCUAAAGCAGAAGAACAUCCACUACAGACUACAGGUGGAUCUGGAGGAGGAAAUGAUGAAGAAGAGGGCAGCCGCUCUGACCUUGUGUCAAAAGGUGGUCUUGUACUCUCUUCGCAUAUUGAUGUGCGUAGUUGCCUUUGGGCUCAUCAUCGCUGCCUGCGCUGGCAUCUUUCAGGCCACGGUUUUCAGUCAGGGCAGGAGUGGCGACGAAGGGUUUCUGGGUUUGAUUUUCGAGUAUCUGCCGUCCAUUGUGAUCACCGCCGGUAACUUCCUGGUCCCUUUGCUGUGUGACCGGAUCGCCGUCGUUGAGCGAUAUACGCCCAGUACCACAGUCAUACUGGCGCUGUUGAGGGCGGUCUUCCUGCGCCUGGUGAGUUUGGGUGUCCUGCUCUUCACCCUGUGGGGUCAGAUCACCUGCCAGGUAAACAGGACGAAGUGCGACCUGUGCCAGUACAACCACGAGAAGUAUCCGUGCUGGGAAACCCGAGUAGGACAGGAAAUGUACAAGCUGACACUUUUCGACCUCAUCGUCACCGUCGCUGUGCUCGUGUUGGUGGAGUUUCCACGCCGGAUGCUGGUGGACAACUGGUCCAAUAAGGCUGCUCAGUGGUUGGGUCGACAGGAGUUUGUGGUGUCCGCCAACGUGCUGGGUCUGGUGUACGGUCAGACCGUAGUUUGGGCAGGGGCCCUCUUCUGCCCCCUGCUGCCUGUCAUCAACACCGUCAAGUUUGUCAUCCUCUUCUACUGCAAGAAGGUAAUCGCUACAAUAGCGCAGUAGCGGGAUCGUGUCCUCAGACCACAAGCAAAUGGCAAAAAAAUGCAAGUAAUUGAGACACCUGUAAAAAUGUCUACUUUUGGCACUCUGUGUCUGUGAAGCAACAAUAAUAAUAACAUGAUAUCGAUAUGCAUGAGGAAGUGCUGUCCAUUUGCAGUGAAUCAACCAACAGGAGGUCAUCAAACCAUGCGCCAACAUCACUCAUGGUGCAACCACAUGACAUGGACUAUGUGGUAGAGAUGCAUAAUAUAUAUUUUUUCAAACCGAUACAUUUUCUGCUUCUGAAGACCAACACGAUAACUUUUUUACAGUAGAUCUACUUUUUUAAUUAAGAAUUAAGUGAAGUUUGUGCACACCUGGAGGUAAGAAGGACUGGAACAAAUUAGGAUUGGACCAACUGUUCCUGUUGAUUAGUCCUCAUGAAAUAUCAUGACAUUACUACUACCACAUCACUACUAUCAGGAGAACCAGAGUACAGAGCGGAGGGAGCCACCUGGUGUGGCCCAGCAAAGUGCACUGUAUUCGGGCACACGCUCCGAGCAGCCGGUGGGACUUCAUGGAGGUCUGUGGCAAACUUUCUGCACUUUUCAAAUGCUGUGGCGCUGGCGUUUCAGGUGGCUGAUAAUGUUUUUUGUGUGCUCUAUGGGUUUUUUUGGUACAAUGUCCUUCCUCUUAAAGUGAAGCGCUUGAUUUGCUCACCCAAUCACGCCUCUUCAGGUCUCACUGUCGUUCCAACUAUCGUGGGAUCACACUACUCAGCCUUCCUGGUAAGGUCUAUUCAGGGGUUUUGGAGAGGAGGAUCCACCAGCUAGUAGGAGGAGCAGUGUGGUUUUGGUCCUGGUGGUGGAACUGUACACCAACUCUACACAUUAAUGGUUUUUUGAGGGUGCAUUAGAGUUUGCCCAACCAGUCUACAUGUGUUUUGUGGACUUGGAGAAGGCAUUGGACCGUGUUCCUUGAGGAAUUCUGUGGGGAGUACUCUGGGAAUAUGGGGUUGGACCAUCAUAUCGGACCACCUAAUUCAGGCGGUUCGUUCCCUGGAUGACCGGUGUCAGAGUUUGAGUCGCAUUGCCGGCAAUAAGUCGGACCCAUUUCCACUUAAGGUUGGACUCCACCAGGACUGCCCUUUGUCACCAAUUCUGUUCAUUACUUUUAUGGACAGAAUUUUUAGGUGCAGCCAGGGCGUUGAGGGGUUCCGGUUUGUGGCUGCAGGAAUGGGUCUCGGCUUUUUGCGGAUGAUGUGGUCCUGUUGGCUUCAUCGAGGUGUGACCUUUAAUUUUCACCGGGUGUGAAGCGGCCGGGAUGAGAAUCAGCACCUCCAAGUCCGAGUCCAUGGUUCAUGGAAAAGGGUGGAGUGCCAUCUCCGGGUCAGGAGUAAGAUCCUGCCCCAAGUGGAGGAGUUGAAGUACCCUGGGGUCUUGUUCGUAAGUGAGGGAACGAAACGCGAGAUCGACAGGAGAGUAGGUAGCAUCUGCAGUGAUGCGGACUCUACAUCGGCCCGCUGUGGUGAAGAGGGAGCUGAGCCAAAAGGCAAAGCUCUCAGUUUACCCAUCGAUCUAAGUUCCUACACUCACCUAUGGUCAUGAGCGUUGGGUAGUGACCGAAAUGACAAGUUGGCGCGUACAACCGAAAUGAGUUUCCUCCGUAGGGUGGCUGGGCUCUCCCUUUGGGAGAUAAGGUGAGAAACACUGUCAGAAGCGCUGCUCCUCCGCCUUGAGAGGAGCCAAAUGAGGUGGCUCGGGCAUCUGGUCAGGAUGCGUCCCGGACACCUCCCUGGGGAGGUGUUCAGGGCACGUCUGACUGGUAGGAGGCCUUUGGGAAGACACAGCACACAUGGGAAGACACGUGGGAACGCCUAGGGAUCCACUGGGGGGAGGGAAGUCUGGGCUUCCCUGCUUAGGCUGCCGCCCCCGUGACCAGUCUUCGGAUAAGCGGAAGAAGAUGGAUGGAUGGAUUGAUUUGCUCACCCGCACAGUACGGGUAAUCUCACCUAUUUGGAGCAUGUUUGUAAAUGAUCGGUUAUCGGAGCUAUUUUUAAUGUUAUUGGAUUGACGUCAUCAUUCCCUCAUAUCAGCCAAUAAUUAUUGGCCUGAUAAUUAUUGUGCACCCCUGCUAUGUGGAUGUUGAAAUAAACAUGUACCCACUUUUAUAUAUGCGAAACGAUACCGUUUGAUACCAAUUUAUAACCCGCAAGGCAUGCUGGAUAAAUUAACGUUGAGGAAUUGUGCAUUUGGGCUUCCCAGCAUGCCUUGCAUGGUAUAAGUCAGUAUAAAAGUCAUGUUUUGCCCGUGUUUUAGUAUGUACGUGUUUAUUUCACUACUUGCAUAGUCUGCAUAGGUGCAGUUACAUUGUGUGGUUUUCUUCCGGUGUUAUUUUUUAUUGAUUUGUGAUGUGCUGUACGUGGAGAACACCUCCUCAAAUGAGAUGGGUUUGCUAACAAUAAACGGCCUAAUUGUGGAGAUUAUAAGCACAAAAUGGCCGGUCGUCUGACAAAUGUGUUGAUGAAUGUGUUGUGAAUGCUGAAUUGUGAAUACACUAGGUCCCCAACUUACGAACAUCCGACUUGCGAACAUUUGGAGAUAUGAACGCAAGCUGACUGGUCUAUAUUUUCAUGUAUUUUGCCUUGUAGUAACUCCAUAUCUAUACUGCAACAUGCUUGACCAGUAGAGGGCACUGUGACACUGCUAAUGGGACCAACAGGUAGAGGAAGACGGUGCGGAGAGAGUGUACAGGAGAAAUGGAAAGCUAAGUUGGAGCUGUAUGAUGCAACCCGGACAGAGCGUGUGAUUAAAGUUUAUGAAGAGUUAAUAGGCCUGCUUAAUUCUACACCACCCACAGAACACUACCUCUUUUAGAAGAGUCUAACCACCACCACCAUUUGUCCUUUUUUCAAUAACUCCUCCUCCUCCACCACAACGAUGUAUGCUCGACCACUCCUCUUCAAAGAUCACACUCUUCCAUAACUGUCGCCCGGCGCUCAGGACCUUCCGCUCCACCACCUCCACCUUUGUCUUUCUGGUGGUGCUCCUGUUUGGAUGGGCCAUGGCCACCCUGGUCCUGAUUUACAGUGUAGCUGAGAUCCAACCCUCGAU